rnacentral:rRNA from 1 species
GGGUUGUGAGGUUAAGCGACUAAGCGUACACGGUGGAUGCCUAGGCAAUCAGAGGCGAUGAAGGACGUGCUAAUCUGCGAUAAGCGUCGGUAAGGUGAUAUGAACCGUUACAACCGACGAUUUCCGAAUGGGGAAACCCAGUGCAAUCCGUUGCACUAUCGUUUGAUGAAUACAUAGUCAAACGAAGCGAACCGGGGGAACUGAAACAUCUCAGUACCCCGAGGAAAAGAAAUCAACCGAGAUUCCCCUAGUAGCGGCGAGCGAACGGGGAGCAGCCCAGAGUCUUAAUCAGCAUUAGCAUCAGGAGAACGGUCUGGAAAGUCCGGCAGUAAAGGGUGAUAGCCCCGUAUCCGAAGGUGUUAGUGUUGUGAACUCGACGAGUAGGGCGGGACACGUGUUAUCCUGUCUGAAUAUGGGGGGACCAUCCUCCAAGGCUAAAUACUCCUGAUUGACCGAUAGUGAACCAGUACCGUGAGGGAAAGGCGAAAAGAACCCCGGCGAGGGGAGUGAAAUAGAACCUGAAACCGUGUACGUACAAGCAGUGGGAGCACCUUUAGGGUGUGACUGCGUACCUUUUGUAUAAUGGGUCAGCGACUUAUAUUCUGUAGCAAGGUUAACCGUAUAGGGGAGCCGUAGGGAAACCGAGUCUUAACUGGGCGAAUAAGUUGCAGGGUAUAGACCCGAAACCCGGUGAUCUAGCCAUGGGCAGGUUGAAGGUUGGGUAACACUAACUGGAGGACCGAACCGACUAAUGUUGAAAAAUUAGCGGAUGACUUGUGGCUGGGGGUGAAAGGCCAAUCAAACCGGGAGAUAGCUGGUUCUCCCCGAAAGCUAUUUAGGUAGCGCCUCGUGAACUCAUCUUCGGGGGUAGAGCACUGUUUCGACUAGGGGGUCAUCCCGACUUACCAACUCGAUGCAAACUACGAAUACCGAAGAAUGUUAUCACGGGAGACACACGGCGGGUGCUAACGUUCGUCGUGAAGAGGGAAACAACCCAGACCGCCAGCUAAGGUCCCAAAGUCAUAGUUAAGUGGGAAACGAAGUGGGAAGGCUCAGACAGCCAGGAUGUUGGCUUAGAAGCAGCCAUCAUUUAAAGAAAGCGUAAUAGCUCACUGGUCGAGUCGGCCUGCGCGGAAGAUGUAACGGGGCUAAACUAUGCACCGAAGCUGCGGCAGCGAUAUUUAGAUAUUGUUGGGUAGGGGAGCGUUCUGUAAGCCUGUGAAGGUGUGCUGUGAGGCAUGCUGGAGGUAUCAGAAGUGCGAAUGCUGACAUAAGUAACGAUAAUGCGGGUGAAAAACCCGCACGCCGGAAGACCAAGGGUUCCUGUCCAACGUUAAUCGGGGCAGGGUGAGUCGACCCCUAAGGCGAGGCAGAAAUGCGUAGUCGAUGGGAAACGGGUUAAUAUUCCCGUACUGGUGAUAAUUGCGAUGGGGGGACGGAGAAGGCUAGGCUAUCCGGGCGACGGUUGUCCCGGUUUAAGGAUGUAGGCAGGUGAAUUAGGCAAAUCCGGUUCACUACAUGCUGAGGUCCGAUGACGAGUCACUACGGUGAUGAAGUAGCUCAUGCCCCGCUUCCAGGAAAAGCCUCUAAGCUCUAGAUUAUCAUUAAUCGUACCCCAAACCGACACAGGUGGUCAGGUAGAGAAUACUCAGGCGCUUGAGAGAACUCGGGUGAAGGAACUAGGCAAAAUGGUGCCGUAACUUCGGGAGAAGGCACGCUGGCAUUAGGUGAAGUGAUUUACUCAUGGAGCUGAAGCCAGUCGCAGAUACCAGCUGGCUGCAACUGUUUAUUAAAAACACAGCACUGUGCAAACACGAAAGUGGACGUAUACGGUGUGACGCCUGCCCGGUGCUGGAAGGUUAAUUGAUGGGGUUAUCCGUAAGGAGAAGCUCUUGAUCGAAGCCCCAGUAAACGGCGGCCGUAACUAUAACGGUCCUAAGGUAGCGAAAUUCCUUGUCGGGUAAGUUCCGACCUGCACGAAUGGCGUAAUGAUGGCCAGGCUGUCUCCACCCGAGACUCAGUGAAAUUGAACUCGCUGUGAAGAUGCAGUGUACCCGCGGCAAGACGGAAAGACCCCGUGAACCUUUACUAUAGCUUGACACUGAACAUUGAGCCUUGAUGUGUAGGAUAGGUGGGAGGCUUCGAAGCGUGGACGCCAGUCUGCGUGGAGCCAACCUUGAAAUACCACCCUUUAAUGUUUGAUGUUCUAACGUUGCCCCAUUAUCUGGGGUGCGGACAGUGUCUGGUGGGUAGUUUGACUGGGGCGGUCUCCUCCCAAAGAGUAACGGAGGAGCACGAAGGUUGGCUAAGCAUGGUCGGACAUCAUGCGGUUAGUGCAAAGGCAUAAGCCAGCUUGACUGCGAGAGUGACGGCUCGAGCAGGUACGAAAGUAGGUCUUAGUGAUCCGGUGGUUCUGAAUGGAAGGGCCAUCGCUCAACGGAUAAAAGGUACUCCGGGGAUAACAGGCUGAUACCGCCCAAGAGUUCAUAUCGACGGCGGUGUUUGGCACCUCGAUGUCGGCUCAUCACAUCCUGGGGCUGAAGUAGGUCCCAAGGGUACGGCUGUUCGCCGUUUAAAGUGGUACGCGAGCUGGGUUUAGAACGUCGUGAGACAGUUCGGUCCCUAUCUGCCGUGGGCGUUGGAAGAUUGAAAGGGGCUGCUCCUAGUACGAGAGGACCGGAGUGGACGCACCACUGGUGUUCGGGUUGUCAUGCCAAUGGCAUUGCCCGGUAGCUAAGUGCGGAAGAGAUAACCGCUGAAAGCAUCUAAGCGGGAAACUUGCCUUGAGAUGAGUCUUCCCUGACUCUUUAAGGGUCCUAAAGGAACGUUUAAGACUAAGACGUUGAUAGGUUGGGUGUGUAAGCGUAGCGAUACGUUGAGCUAACCAAUACUAAUGAACCGUGAGGCUUAACCUGACAACACCGAAGGUGUUUUAG